rnacentral:lncRNA from 1 species
UAGUUAACCCUAACCGUGUCUCUCUCUCUCUUCCCCCUCGCGCUCCUCUCUUUCAAAUUCAAACACAUUCAAUGGCUGAUAGCUCCAACGAAGUUCAGACAAACAUCUACCGCCACCUUCAACCUAUCAUCUCCGAACGUCUUCUAACACCGGAACAGGCUGAUACUAUCGUCAAGUUCAUCUCCACUGACUACCCCGUU